CAUGUUACACGGUGCAAUUUUUCUUGCAACUUGCAAUGCAAUUCUACUCUUGAGAGAUGUUAAAACAUCAUGCAAGUUGCAAGAAAAAUUGCACCGUGUAACAUG
rnacentral:miRNA from 1 species